GCAGGUUUAUUGGACACUGCAACGUUUCGACCUGUACCCAGGUCUUUAUAAAGUCUCCAGUGUCCCCUAUGUAUCAGAGUAUCUCAGUGCCCCAUGUCUCCCAGUGUUCCUGGUGUCUCUCGUGGCUGUAGUGUCUCAGUGUCCUUUGUGUGUCAGUGUCCCCUAGUCUCUCAGAAUCCCCUAGUCUCUCAGUGUCCCCAUGUCUCACAGUGUCCCCAAGUGCCUCAGUGCCUAGUAUAGAAGAAAAAAAUCUCAGGCACUCACUGUGAUAGAUUUAAGCAGGUUUAUUGGACAACGCAACAUUUUGACCUGUACCCAGGUCUUUAUCAAGUCUCCAGUGUCCCCUAUAUAUCACAGUGUCCCCUAUGUAUCACAGUGUCUCAGUGCCCCAUGUCUCCCAGUGUCCCCUUGUGUCCCAAAGUCACCCAGCGUCCCCAUUUCUCCAUGUGUCCCAGUGUCCCCAAGAGUCUCGGUGUCCCCAGGUCUCCCAGUGUUCCCUAGUAUCUCAGUGUCCCCAUGUCUCCCAGUGUCCCAAUGUCUCUUAAUGUCCCCUAGUGUCCUAGUGACAUGGGGACACAGACACUAAGGGACUGGGAGACAUGGGGACACAGACA